rnacentral:rRNA from 1 species
UACAGAGGUCCCAAGCGUUGUUCGGAUUCAUUGGGCGUAAAGGGUGCGUAGGUGGCGCCGUAAGUGGGGUGUGAAAUCUCGGGGCUUAACUCCGAAACUGCAUUCGAUACUGCCGUGCUUGAGGACUGGAGAGGAGACUGGAAUUUACGGUGUAGCGGUGAAAUGCGUAGAUAUCGUAAGGAAGACCAGUGGCGAAGGCGGGUCUCUGGACAGUUCCUGACGCUGAGGCACGAAGGCCAGGGGAGCAAACGGG